AAUAAGAUGCCUGAAAAAGGAUUAUUUUGAUAGAAUAAAUCAUGUAUUACAAUAUACUCUUAUUG
rnacentral:tRNA from 1 species